rnacentral:pre_miRNA from 1 species
UGAGGUAGUAGGUUGUAUAGUUUGGGGCCUGCCCUGCUGUGGAUAACUAUACAAUCUACUGUCUUUC